rnacentral:misc_RNA from 1 species
AUCUUGUACAUUUAAAAUGUUCCAACUCAACCAAACAAGGAUUUGGACAAUUGCCAUAGGUCCCUAGGAAAUCACAGGCAAUUUUCUUUCUGAAUUUAACCCAUAAUCAGUGCACAGCAUUCAAAGGCCUAACAACAUGCCUGCAUAUCAUUCAGAAACGCUGUACACUGACAGAAUACAGAUGAUCAGUAGAACUCAUGCCGAGGCUGUAACUGAUGACAAACCAUUAUGUCGGAGCAGUGCCUCUGGUGAAGGUUCACGUCCACGGAAUUCCACGAAAACCUCUAAUGGUGCUUUUCCACCUCC